rnacentral:lncRNA from 1 species
UGCCUAAGCAGGGUCCCAGUCCUACGAAGACAUGAGAGGGAUCCUGUAUGCAGCUCCUCAGCUCCAAUCAAUUCGGUCUGGUCCCAGUCAUGAGGAAGAUGCAGACUCUUAUGAAAACAUGGAUAAAUCUGACGACCCAGAGCCAGCAUGGGCAGGAGAGGGCCACAUGGGGACUUGGGGUGCCACGUGACUCCCAGGUGACUAGGUGAGCUGGACACUGCCCCUCAGAGAGGGGAGGAAGAAGGAGAUAAACAAGGAUGAUGAUGCAGCACUGGCUCCUGGGGAGAGGAAGGGGACCCGUUUCCUGGGUCCAGUGAAUAGGGCCUAGACUUCUUCCCAUAUUUGUUUGUUUAUUGGUUUGUUCUUUUACGUAGCCUGGACUUCCUUAGGUCCCGAGAACCCCAUCUUACUCUGAAAUCUGGAGAUCCCAAGAAGAUGGUGUCAGUCAGUGAAAUAACCUUGUUUAGGAUGUGUGUGCGCACACACACACCACACACACUCAUAUGCAUGUACAAGCAAAGCUUCCUUUUGACUCUUUUUGCUUUCCCCAAAUAAACUCAACAAGCCACUCAAAUACUCUGAAGCAUGCCCUUGUGUGGGAGAAGAAGGAAAGAUGAGGCUGAAUCCAGCUCUGAAUCACCCAGAGGAAGGAGAGCUGGUCUGAAUACAUCCUGGCCCUAGCAUGAUAUUUAGCCACUAACAUCCAAUGAUGCAAAUAUGUUCAGCCAUUAUUCCAUGGUGUCCCACAAGGGACAGACAGUGAUGGGAUUGGCACCCCUGCACAAACUGGGAAACCCUGUCUGCCCUUCUUCCCUUAACCCUGGCUGCUCUGGGCUAGCAGGUCAGUACCCCUCAUCUCUGAGUUUCCGGCAACCCACCUGAGUGCCCGCCCAGGGUUUCAGCUUCUGACCAUAUGUGGACACCACCCCAGCUCUGAACUUACAUAUCAUCACUCCUUGUCUAAGACCUAUAAAACCCCCUUACCUUAGCCCAGGUGUGCCAUUUCCCUGCUCCCUCCCCUGUCCUUGGGAUCUGUGAACGUACUCAAGAGCUGCUCUCAAUAAAUCUGCCUCUAUAUGUCUU